CGGAGAGUAGCUCAGCCUGGUAGAGCACCACUUUCGGGAAGUGGGGGUCGCAGGUUCAAAUCCUGUCUCUCCGA
rnacentral:tRNA from 1 species